UGCAGUCGAGCGCCCGCAGGGGAGCGGCAGACGGGUGAGUAACGCGUGGGAAUCUACCCAUCUCUACGGAAUAACUCAGGGAAACUUGUGCUAAUACCGUAUACGCCCUUCGGGGGAAAGAUUUAUCGGAGAUGGAUGAGCCCGCGUUGGAUUAGCUAGUUGGUGGGGUAAUGGCCUACCAAGGCGACGAUCCAUAGCUGGUCUGAGAGGAUGAUCAGCCACACUGGGACUGAGACACGGCCCAGACUCCUACGGGAGGCAGCAGUGGGGAAUAUUGGACAAUGGGCGAAAGCCUGAUCCAGCCAUGCCGCGUGAGUGAUGAAGGCCCUAGGGUUGUAAAGCUCUUUCACCGGUGAAGAUAAUGACGGUAACCGGAGAAGAAGCCCCGGCUAACUUCGUGCCAGCAGCCGCGGUAAUACGAAGGGGGCUAGCGUUGUUCGGAAUUACUGGGCGUAAAGCGCACGUAGGCGGAUACUUAAGUUAGGGGUGAAAUCCCAGGGCUCAACCCUGGAACUGCCUCUAAUACUGGGUAUCUAGAGUCCGAGAGAGGUGAGUGGAAUUCCGAGUGUAGAGGUGAAAUUCGUAGAUAUUCGGAGGAACACCAGUGGCGAAGGCGGCUCACUGGCUCGGUACUGACGCUGAGGUGCGAA
rnacentral:rRNA from 1 species